rnacentral:tRNA from 1 species
CUAGUUUGGCAGACCAGUGCACUUGACUUAGGAUCAAUUUAGAGAGAACCCAACUCUAACUAGUA